AAAUUGUAUUAUAGUUGAUUUACAGCGUCUGUCCAUUUCUGCUGCACAGCAUGCCAUCAACAUUCUAUGACCUGUAAUUAGUGCUCUGAUCAAUAAUGACUUUCCUGGUGACUCAGUGGGUUAAGGAUUCAGCAUUGUUGCUGCUGUGGCUUGGGCCACUGCUGUGGCACGGGUUCGAUCCCUGGCCCAGGAACCUCUACACGCUGCAGGUGUGGCCAAAAAAAAUGCUACAACCAUAAACUAAACAUAAGUGUCCUUUUUCUGGGUGUUCAGAUAUCCACUUCAGCUGGGUAUUGACAUGGACGUGCCCAUGUUACAAAGCACGUUCACAUACAUUAUUUCACUUGACCCUCACAGCAGUUUGGCCUCCUCCCCGCCUCCCUGCCCCCAAAUAUGACUAUUUCAUUAACAUGCAAUAUCUGAAUAUCUGAACAAAGAAUUCAGGAUACAUUGUUAGAGCAGCAAUUCUUAGUAGAGUUCACAGCAGUCUAGUCUUAAAGGGAGGAGUCCAAGGCUAAGAAGGUAAGCGAUGUGCCCAAGGUUACAGCUCCCAGACGGUAGGGCUGAGGUCAGCUAAUCACAUUCGCUCUAUCGUCUGUGUGAUUACACUUUUAGGGAACUCAAAAAUACUGAGAAGUUGUGAUGGUCAUAAAGAGAAUGAUUAUCAUUGAUGCUGCAUAAACUAUGGGCCAGGCUCCAUUUGGGGCACUUCUGUGCACUUCUUGGGUAAUCCUUCUGCUCACUGCUGGAGCUAAGUGGCAUAAUUCUCACCUCGUAGAGAAGGGAUCUAAGGCUCAGAGAGAUGAACCAACAAGCCCAAGGCCACACAGCUCACAUCUGGUAGAGCCAGGUCUAAACUGGGUUCUGACUCCAAAGCCCAUGUUUUUCCCCUUUGGCUGUUACCUAUUUUCAUUCCAGUGCAAAUUUAAACCAAUGUUUCUACCUUUUGGGUCAUUAUUUGCAUUUUGCACAGCUCUAGAUAAGGAAUGAAAGGACCUGUUCCCUGGGUUUUGCUUUUGUUUUAAUUCCAAGCCCCUGGAAACAGGUGGGAGGGAGAGGCUAGUGGGCGGUGUGCAGGCCCUUGGGUGUUUCUGAAAUUCACACCUGAGGGUUGGUCAGCCUGAGCCUGCUGGGGGCACACAUUCAGGCCUCUGGGAGGACAACGAGCCUGCAAGCUCUUCUGGUACACUGCGUCUGCAGCAGAGCAGAGCAAUCAUGGGCCCCAGAGACACAACCCUUGAGUCUGGGUGGCCCUAUUCUUUAGAAGCUGUGUGGCCUAAACAAUUUUCUUUUUUUCCCCCCACAAGACUCUGCUUCCUUUUUUUGGAAAACAUGGAUUAAAUUAGAUAAUGUGUGUUGUGUGUGGGGGGGGGUACGGUUGUAAAGCAAAACAAGGAAGCUAUUCUUCUGUGUUUUCUUCCAGGGAGUCAAGGUUCCCUUGUCCCUUCUCUGAGUGACCGCUCUGCAGGAUACCUCAGUGAGCAUCAGGGCCAGCGCACAAUCAGAGGCUUUCCCGCGCUGUCUUCUGAAGGGCUUGUGCUGCAGCUGAUACAUGUGUUACUUCCUGCAGGAGUUUCCAAACCUCUUUACCAAGAAGGCUUCCUCCCAUGAAAAGGCUGUUGUUUGCUCAUGGGAGGAACAACUCCUGUUCUGCAGGCCCUGCUGGGGUGGAGAAGAAAAGCCUGCACAGCUGCACAUUUUCUCGGAAGGAGUUGCAGGCGGCGGCACAGGCCAAGCUCUGGAGGCAGGUGGAGCCCAGCUGCAAAGCCUCCCAGCUCUGACCCCUCCGGGCGGCUUCAGCUUUCUAAGCAUCAGUGUCCUUCUUUGUAUAAUGAAAUUAAUUUCCACCUUCCAGGACACCUGUAAGGACUGCAGAUAAUGUUAAUGAAACGCCUAACACAGAACCUGGUAUAGAGUAGCCGUUUGGUCAAUGUUAGUUUCCUCUUCCACGUUACUUGCUCAUGCCUGUAUCUGCAGCAGACACAGGGCAAGAGUGCAUGGGAUGAGGAAGGGCUCUGUCCACUCUGAAGAGCCGUCUGGGCCCACUCUGUUCAGAUAGUCCACCCUGGAUGUGUUCUUCAACUCCAGAAUUUAUGAAGAUAACAAGGAAUACUGUAAAGAUGGUUGAACCUCCAAGUGCACUGUUCAGAGGCUGCUGUGUGAUGACCCCUACUGGAUUCUGGCAUCAAACUCCUGCUUGUCCUCACUUAGGACCUGGGGGGAUGCCCCCUCGUGGCAGAAGCAUGUCCCGGGACCCUCUUGUAUCUUGUUUUCCUUCAUUGCCUCUGCUGAAACGUCCAUUUCCUGCUUCUGAGCUGGUAAUGCUGACUUCUUUCUUAGCCUUUGCUUACACAGUUGCUGAAAGGGUCAUUUUAAAGUCCUGCAUCUUCACUGAAUUGAUGUUUGCAAAAGCCUUUGCUUCCCUAUCCAGUGCUCUGCAAACACUCGAUGUGGCUUCUCAGUCUGGAAGGAUACGGACACCAUCUGGCUGAAGCAUGACACUUCCUGAGAGGCAGUGUUUAAGUAAUUCCUGGAAAGCAGCAGCUCAUUGGUUUGAGUGUUAAUCACUCCAUAUCCAAUUUUCUGUGGCUUCAUCACAGUCUGUAUGACUUUGAGCUCAAGGUUAAGAAAGAAUGAAACGUGAUACAGCAAUUUGCCCUUGAUAAUGUCUAUCAUCAAGACAGAUGUGUCCUGAGCUCUGGCUACGUGCAGAGGACUGUGCUAGUAAGCUGGUGAGUAUAUGGGGGGGGAGGGGCAAUGGCCUUUGCCCUCAGGGACCCUGUAAUAGAGACAUGGAUGCAGACAUCAUGUGCUGAAUGAAUGGAGGAAGGAAACCUGGUCAGUGUUUGCAGUUUAGACAGUGUGUGCAGGCUCAGGG
rnacentral:lncRNA from 1 species